UACGUAGGGGGCAAGCGUUGUCCGGAUUUAUUGGGCGUAAAGAGCGUGUAGGCGGUUUGGUAGGUCCGCUGUGAAAACUCGAGGCUCAACCUCGAGACGCCGGUGGAAACCAUCAGGCUAGAGUCCGGAAGAGGAGAGUGGAAUUCCAGGUGUAGCGGUGAAAUGCGUAGAUAUCUGGAGGAAUACCGGUGGCGAAGGCGGCAUCCUGGACCGGCAUUGACGCUGAGGAGCGAAAGCUAGGGGAGCAAACGGG
rnacentral:rRNA from 1 species